AAUGUCAUCAAAAAGGGCUGAGAAUGAUAUAUCUGCAAUUGAAUCGUAUCACAGCCAGCUUUGAUGGGCAUUG
rnacentral:pre_miRNA from 13 species